rnacentral:lncRNA from 1 species
UCCUUUGAGUUUGUAUACUGUCUAGAUGACAAUAUACGUAUUAAAACUCUUAGAUUAUGUUUUGUCGUAUUUUACACGACUGCUGUAUUAUUAGUUUGUAUUUGAAUUUUGUACCAUUUAUCUGGCGACUCAAAAUGGGUGAUGAAUACCUAAUUUUGGGGGGCGUCACUGACGCCCCCAAAAUUAGGUACACAUCACCCAUCCUAGGUCGCCACUUUCA